GGGUUCGUGGAUGCGCACUGCUGAGGAGUCUCGUAAUGGGACGAAACGGCCGUCCAGUGUUUCCAGGUUUUC
rnacentral:tRNA from 1 species